rnacentral:misc_RNA from 1 species
GAUGAAGAACGUAGCGAAAUGCGAUACGUAAUGUGAAUUGCAAAUUCAGUGAAUCAUCGAGUCUUUGAACGCACAUUGCGCCCCCUGGAAUUCCGGGGGGCAUGCCUGUCCGAGCGUCAUUGCUGCCCUCAAGCACGGCUUGUGUGUUGGGCCCCGUCCUCCGAUCCCGGGGGACGGGCCCGAAAGGCAGCGGCGGCACCGCGUCCGGUCCUCGAGCGUAUGGGGCUUUGUCACCCGCUCUGUAGGCCCGGCCGGCGCUUGCCGAUCAACCCAAAUUUUUAUCCAGGUUGACCUCGGAUCAGGUAGGGAUACCCGCUGAACUUAAGCAUAUCAAUAAGCGGAGG